rnacentral:ncRNA from 1 species
AGGAGCCGUAUGAGGCGGAAGCUCCACGUACGGUUUUGAAGCCGAGCCUUUCCAGCAAUGGGGCCUAGGGACCUAUGAUAGAUCAUUGGAGUCUUGAAAUUAUAUAAAUAUGAUAAGAAUGGAGACAGCUACCCUAGU